GGCUGACAUUCACAACAGCUGCACUUCCAGAGAUCUCUUUGGUGAACCAGGUUUGCUUUGACAACCAAGAAAGAUGUGCUCCCGUCAGGACAAAGACCAAUGCUACAAGCAGGAGAAACAGGAAGGAUCCUGUUGUAGUGGCCGGAGGUCUUCCACCAGUGAGGACCGAGGUUCCUGCUGUCUGGGACGGAGGAACAGCGGAGGGUGUCAUGGCAAUCAGGGUUCAUCCGGCUGUCACGGGAAGCAACAAGAGCAGCAACAGCAACAGCAACAGCAGCAGCAGGUCUUCCAAGUGCCAUCUCAGAAGCUGAAGUAACACUAAGGAGAAUUCCUAGGAGGGUUUUGGUGGAUCAUUUCAACACCAGUUGCUGAGCAGCUUUAUCCUUGCGCCAAGAUCCACCACCCAAAAUGCUCCAAAUUCUCAGCUGCCUCUUCUCCUCUUCAAAGGGGGUCAUCAUUUGGAGCAUGAGAAGAGCAAGAAGAGACAUCCAGAUAUUUCUAUUUGCACACAUAAGAGAAUAAAAAAAUAAACAAUUAAUCAUAAUGAA